AAGCGGAAGCGGAUCGCGGCGGGGGAGGAGGAUGUUGUACUUUGCCUUUGCCAGCCGGCUGCUGCCAUGGAUAUACCAGUCUUCAUUCUUGCGGGGCUCCUUGUGCAUUGUGUGUUCUUGGUGUCCAUUUUUGACAUCUACUUCAGCUCUCCCCUGGUCCAUGGCAUGACUCCUCAGCAGACUCCGCUGCCGCCUCCGGCGAAGCGUCUCGUGCUUUUUGUUGCCGAUGGUCUGCGAGCAGAUUCUCUGUAUGAGCUGGACAGCAAUGGCACAGCCCGGGCCCCUUACCUGCGGAGUAUUCUGGAGAAUAAUGGCAGCUGGGGAAUCUCUCACACCCGGGUCCCAACAGAAUCCAGGCCAGGGCAUGUUGCACUCAUUGCUGGAUUUUAUGAAGAUGUCAGUGCAGUUGCUAAAGGGUGGAAGGAGAAUCCAGUGGAAUUUGACUCAGUUUUCAAUGAAAGUAAAUAUACCUGGAGCUGGGGAAGCCCGGAUAUUUUGCCAAUGUUUGCAAAAGGUGCUACUGGAGAUCAUGUUUAUACAUUUUGUUAUGCAGCUGAAAGUGAAGACUUUGGAGCAGAAGAUGCAGCCAAGCUUGAUAUGUGGGUUUUUGAUCAUGUUAAGAGCUUCUUUAAUUCUUCCAGAAGCAAUCAAACAUUGUUCUCUGCACUGAAUGAAGAGAAAGUGGUUCUGUUCCUGCAUUUGCUAGGCAUAGACACCAAUGGACAUGCUCAUCGGCCAAACUCAAGGGAGUACCAGGAGAAUAUUAAACAAGUUGAUGAGGGUGUGAAAGAAAUUGCUUCGUUGAUUAAUAAUUUCUAUGGAAAUGAUGGAAAGACUGCAUUUAUUUUGACUUCCGACCAUGGAAUGACAGAUUGGGGAUCCCAUGGAGCUGGUCAUCCCUCAGAAACUUUAACACCACUGAUUGUUUGGGGUGCGGGGGUAAAUUAUCCACAGAAAGUUACAACCCAGUUCUUUGAAGACAAUUUUUUGAAAGAAUGGAAACUGGAGAACUUGAAGAGGCUUGAUGUCAAUCAGGCUGAUAUAGCACCACUGAUGGCUUCCCUUAUCGGUGUGCCUUUCCCCCUGAACUCUGUGGGAACUCUACCUCUGGAGUAUCUGAACACUAGUGCUCUUUUCAAAGCAGAGAGUAUGUUUACCAAUGCCGUUCAGAUUCUUGAGCAAUUUAAGGUUAAAAUGAGUCAGAAAAAGGAAACUACAUUGUCAAUUCUGUUCACACCAUUCAAACCACUUUCUGCUUCUGAACAGAUCAACUAUUUAAAAAAAAUAAAACUGUAUAUUGAGCAGCAGAAGUACGAUGAAGCGAUAUCUCUGUGCAAAACCCUGAUUAACCUUGCUUUGGAAGGCUUGUCUUACUACCACACCUAUGAUAGAUUAUUCCUGGGUCUGAGCAUUGCAGUGAGUUUUGUGGGCUGGACAACUUAUGUGAUUUUGGUCAUUAUCAAGGCCCAUACCAAUUUGACCAAGACUGUCCCAGCUAAUAAAAAGAAAUCUACUGUUCUCUUCUAUGGUUUUGCCUCUGCUGGAAUGAUAAUAACUUUUUUCCUGUUGAUUCAAACAUGUCCUUGGACAUACUAUAUAUACUGUCUCUUGCCAGUGCCAGUAUGGUAUGCAGUUGUCAAAGAAAUUCCUGUCAUUCAAGACCUUGCCACAAAUGUUUUGUCGCUUCAUCGUGGUCAAUCUGCGGGAUUCCUCUUGGUUUGUAUACUGGGAAUUGAAAUACUAGUGUUCAGCUUUUUCUACCGCUCUGCGCUUACUGUUGGCCUUCUUGUCUUUGCUGGCUGGCCAGUGAUCACACAGCUGUGGAUUCAAGCUAAGACAAAAGCAUUGAUCUGGACUCUCCUGUGUGUGCUCCUGGCAAUAUUUCCAUUAAUGCCUGUUGUAGGAAGAGAACCAAACAUUCCUCUGGUAACAGCAGCUGGUUUGCUGACCAUCUUGAUAUCUUUAUUCUCGUUGACAUCUCUUUGUAAAAGGGAAAAUAAGUACAGAGAUAAGGAAGAUCUGAAAGUAUAUUUUUAUCAGAUGUUCAGUGUUGCACUUUCGACAUAUGUUGUGGGCAGUACCCAUGACAGCCUUAAGAUCAAACAGGGAUUACCUGUAAUGAAUCAAAUUAUUAGCUGGAUGACACUAGUUUUUUCCCCAGUGUUGCUGCUACUGAGCCCCACGUUUCUCUUUGAGAGACUGUUCAGCAUAUUGCUCUCCCUGAUGUCCACCUACCUGCUCCUCAGCACAGGAUAUGAAGCUCUUUUUCCACUGGCACUGUUUGGUUUGAUGUUUGUGUGGAUAAAUAUGGAACAAGAAGCACUGCAGCACUAUGGUCUUUCACUCAAACCAAAGCUUGCUGUUUUCAACUUCACCUGUACAAUGGAUAUAACUCAGUUCCGACAGCUCCACCUGGAUGAUGUCCGGAGGUCCUUCUUCUUUGUAUCCUUUGGUUGGUUGCUGUACUCCAGGGCAAAAAAGGGGUUUGUUUCAAAAGGACCUGCAGUCAAAAUUUGUAGCCUGGUACUCACUGAGAACAGGAGCUGGUAAAGAUGAUCUGACUCAUAUCACACUAAAGGUGAUGGUCUUGUACAUUAUGCAUUUUAUCAAGUAGUUAAAAAUGCAGAUUUAGAAUCUGGCUCUUUGCCCACUUAUGGCCGUUGCAGCUAGGUAAAUUUUCUUCUGAGGAGUUCUGUUUUCAAUUUGGUUUUGUUUGACUUCAUUUUGGCUGGAGGGAAUUUGCUCACCUUCACAAAUCAGUUGAAAUAGGUGAUAUUAAAGUUAUUCUCAUUUUUAGAGUGUGGCAGUGUGUUAGGAAGCAGAUGUUAGGUAGCAGGCAGAUGAAGCAAGAAGGAAAGUUCCUGCAGGCUCAUAGUGAAAUAUGUUUCCUGAAUCUGGCCUAGAAUUAUUUAUAUCUUAAGUGAUUUCUACUGUUAGAAAUUAUAUGGUAUUGGGAGGGAAGAACUGUUUGUUCACUAACACAGCAGUUAGUUUGUGUUCCUGUAACUGCUACUGCAGCUGAUUUUUUUUUUAAUAUUGUAUGUUGAUAACAUUGUCAUUUUUCUCUUUCAUUGUGGGACUGCAAUUAAGUGAGAGCUAUUUGGUAGCAAGGAAUAUGGAUGCGCAAACGGGAGAGAAAGUGAGCCAGUCUAGAACACAGAGGGGUUUCGUGCCAGUUUUGAUCCUGCUUCUGUCUAUUGUUUCUUGACUGUGUUCAGUCCCUUCAUGAUGGGAGGCUUGCUUUUACUGAAGGUUGCAAUCCCGUUUGUUCUGGUAUCAUGUGCUUUCGAAGCUGUUCAAGUCACAACACAGCUG